AACGAACGCUGGCGGCAUGCCUAACACAUGCAAGUCGAACGAACCCUUCGGGGUUAGUGGCGCACGGGUGCGUAACGCGUGGGAAUCUGCCCUUUGCUUCGGAAUAACAGUUAGAAAUGACUGCUAAUACCGGAUGAUGUCUUCGGACCAAAGAUUUAUCGGCAAGGGAUGAGCCCGCGUAGGAUUAGGUAGUUGGUGGGGUAAAGGCCUACCAAGCCGACGAUCCUUAGCUGGUCUGAGAGGAUGAUCAGCCACACUGGGACUGAGACACGGCCCAGACUCCUACGGGAGGCAGCAGUGGGGAAUAUUGGACAAUGGGCGCAAGCCUGAUCCAGCAAUGCCGCGUGAGUGAUGAAGGCCUUCGGGUCGUAAAGCUCUUUACCAGGGAUGAUAAAUGACAGACCUG
rnacentral:rRNA from 1 species